UUCGCCCUUAGAGUUUGAUCCUGGCUCAGAACGAACGCUGGCGGCAUGCCUAACACAUGCAAGUCGAACGAAGGCUUCGGCCUUAGUGGCGCACGGGUGCGUAACGCGUGGGAAUCUGCCCUUGGGUUCGGAAUAACAGUUGGAAACGACUGCUAAUACCGGAUGAUGUCGCGAGACCAAAGAUUUAUCGCCCAGGGAUGAGCCCGCGUCGGAUUAGGUAGUUGGUGGGGUAAAGGCCUACCAAGCCGACGAUCCGUAGCUGGUCUGAGAGAAUGAUCAGCCACACUGGGACUGAGACACGGCCCAGACUCCUACGGGAGGCAGCAGAAGGG
rnacentral:rRNA from 1 species